CAGCCAGGAAGCACUUGUUGCUCUUCUAAACUCCACGGCACCAGAGAUGAAGUCACCUUUCUUCUUUUAAAAGCAACAGAUCUGCCCUGUGAGUCCCUGUCACGUCUGUGGGAACUCGGUGUUUUUUCCACAGCUGGGCACCAGGACCUUCCCUCAGGAAUCCUGUGCCCAGGGUGCUCCAGAAACGUCAAGUUUACCAUUUUUCAGAUGCCAUCACUGUGGUAGGACAAUCAGGGUGAAGGAUAACAUGAUUCUUGAGAGCGAAGUGUAACUAUCACCACAAUCAAGAUACAAAACUGUAUCAUCACCACAUGGCUCUCUUGCACUAUCCCUUUGCAUCCACCCCCUUCAUCCCUAACCCUCUGAAACCAUUAAUCUGUAGUCCAUCUGUAUAAUUUUAUUUCAGGAGCAUUAUAUAAAUGGAAUCAUGAGUAUUUACAUGCAUGAGAUUGACUUUUUCCACUCGGCAUAAUUUUCUUAAGAUCUAUCCAAGUUGUUGUUGCAUGUAUCAAUAGUUGGUUCUUUUUUUACUCUUGAGUAGUAAUCCACAGCAUGGUUGUAGCAAAGUUUGUUUAAUCUUUUGCCCAUUUACCCAUUGGAGGAUAUCUGGGUAAUUUCCAGUUUGGGACUACUACAAAUAAAGCUGCCAUAAGCAUUUGUAUGCAAGUUUCUGCAUGAACAUUAAUUGUUAUUUCUCUGGGAUAAAUGCCUGAGAGUACAAUAUCUGGGUCUCAUGCUUUAUUGAGGUAUGAUUGACAAAUAAGAAUAUAUAUUUAAGGAGAUUCCCUUUGAUCAGAGAGCUGCACAUACAAGAGACUUGCUGCAAGCAUGGACCUCAGUGAAAAAUGGCCUUUGGAGGAAGGAACCUGGCUGUCUCAUGCUGGAAUUCAUCAUUUUGCCAACACCAGAGGGGGUAUGGCUGCUUUUGCUGUCCCUGAUAAACGCGGUCCUCUUCAACUCCUGCACCCAUUGUGUCAACCCAGCUGUACUCUGUACGUGCCCAGCGCUGUUUGCCUUUUCACAGAAGCAGCAGGGUGGAGAGGAGAGGGCAUGGACUUUGGUGUCAGACAGACCUGGGUUGAGAUCUGGAAUUUCCUUCUUAUAAGCUAUGUGGCCUUAAGAAAAUCGAUCGUUUCCUCAGCUCUAACAUGAGAGUAAGAAUGCCUACGUGUAGGGUUGUGAUAAGCAGCACUGAGUAAUGUAAGCUGUCAUUGACUGAGCCCUUACCCUAGCUCGGUGGGAAGUUAGUCACAUAUCUUUGAACCCCUAACAUGUGUCAGGCACUAUUUUCUGGCCCGUCUCCCCCCUCCUCCCCUCUCCUCUCCUCUCCACGGCCCUGCAAAGAUUAAAAUUGAGGAUAAUGCAACUGGUAUAAACAAACAGUCUAGGUCAGCUCAACUUCCUUCUGGUUCUGUGUCCUAGCAUCUGAUUAAUGCAACUCAGCAUUAAUUGAUGGGGAUGUUGUUUACUGUCCUGGCGUGGAGCAUCCAAGUGUAAGAGUCACAACCCUGACACAGAGCAGUGGUCCUCUUUCAGGUCUAAGAGUCUGCCCCAUCACCCAUCCCCCAGAUCUAAUGGAGAUCCACUUGGGUGGUAAGAGUCAUUCUAUGGAUGGGAGAGCAAAGGCCACUGAAGUUAACGCACUCACAUGAUGUUUUUAGAGAGGGUAUGCCUCCCAUUUGUUGUUGUUUAUUCAUUCACUCAAUAAAUAUUGAGCACCUACUAUGUGCCAAGCACUGGGAAUACAAAAAAGAGAGUAAGAUAGACACGGAGAUCACCAGACUACACUCUCUACUGUGCCCCAUCUCUAAAAUGGGGUAACUUAUACAGCAAUAAACAUUUACUGAGCUUCUGCACUGCAUCAGGGUACAUCUUCCAACCAAGACAACUGCACACAAUGGGAGAUUCCCCGAAGGGAAGCUUGAUAUUCUAAGAGAGGACACUUGGAUGCAGUCCAGACAAAAACCAAUAGCUGUUCACUCCUGUGCCCUGUCGCAUUGCCACCCUAGUCACUUUUAGAGGUCCUUAAGACAAUGUCUUCUCACAGCCCAGUCCAUGGAAUAAAGUUGAACUUCCUCAGCUCAACAUGCAGCCUUCCUUUCCUGAUCUGACCCCUGCCUGCCUCUCUAGACUCAUCUCCUGCUUCUCCUAAAAACAAACCCCUUUCUCAUCACUGUAUCGA